rnacentral:misc_RNA from 1 species
UCCGGUUUAUCACCGGCAGUCCCCGCAGAGUCCUCGGCAUCACCCGUUAGCAAUAGCAGGCAGGGGUUGCGCUCGUUGCGGGACUUAACCCAACAUCUCACGGCACGAGUUGACGACAGCCAUGCAGCACCUUGUUUUGUGCCCCGAAGGGAAGCCACCUUUCGGCAGCGGUCACUCACAUUCAAGCCCAGGUAAGGUUCCUCGCGUAUCAUCGAAUUAAACCACAUGCUCCUCCGCUUGUGCGGGCCCCCGUCAAUUCCUUUGAGUUUCAGCCUUGCGGCCGUACUCCCCAGGCGGGGUACUUACUGCGUUAGCGACGGCACCGGAGGGGUCGCUCCCCCCGACGCCUAGUACCCAUCGUUUACGGCGUGGACUAC